ensembl:lincRNA
UGGCACCAUGGCUUUGAAGAUGAAUACAGAUGGCCUAAGAAACACAUUGAAAAAUAGACUAAUAUGGGCCAUCAUGUGUCUCACACUUGUAAUCCCAGUAUGCUGGGAGGUGGAGAUGGGAGGAUCACUGUAGCUGAGCAGUUUGAGAUGAGACCAGCCUGGGCAACACAGAGAAAUGUCAUCCCUGUAAAAAAUACAAAAAAGAAAUUAACCAGAUUCUCAGCUGGAUUCCAGUCUCAUCGUACUCUCAUUUCACAGGAGUGUCAGAACAGAGAACAUUCCACCUGGGAGUCCAGGGAAGGCAGUUAUUGCUUUUAGAAUAUUGAUGCUACACUCUUCUCACGUAAGUACUCAUAACUGUUAAAUCUGCAUUAUGGAUUAUAAUGUUUAUUAUUGUAAAGUGCCAUUCUCUGUAACAGGUAUUUAUUUACUUAUUUAUAAUCCUGAAUUCAAUAAUUUACCUUAUUAAGGUUAUGAUAUCCAUGUUUUUGUGUUUUCAUUUACCUGGAAUGUUUUUUGUGCAAACUGUUUGAAUUGCUUUAUUUACAUGAGUAUUGCUUGUCUGCAACCUUAUAUUUGAUUUUAUUUUCAAUUCCAUUUUUUUCAUUUAAUAUACAAAGUUAGUUCAUUUAUUUAAUGAAUAGUAGAUAUGUCUGGUACUAUUUCAUCUCUCAUAUGUUCUGCUGUGAAUUUUAUUUUUAAACCUUUCAAAUGUAUUUUACGUACAUCUGGCUUUCUGGAUUUCCUUCUCAAAAAAAUGGUUAUAUACUACUACUUGCUCUAAUGGUUAGCUAAGAUAAUAUUAACUUUAAAAAAUAUCUUUAAGCCUCUUUAGAUAAUAACUAUUUAUUGUCCGCACUAUACAAUUCUGGAAUUACAAACAUUCCUUAGCUCAAACCCUGUUCUGAAAUCAAAUUAUUUAGGUUUUUACAAAGAUGACGGUGCUUACACUAUGUAUUACACAUCAACAUUGGAAUCGACCACACUGAUAUUACUACAGCAAAAGGCAGGGUUAUUAACACAGUGCAAAAAGCUUUACUUCUCCUUUGUACAAUGCUUUCUUCUUUAUUCUCUACCAACAUAUUAACUGAUUGUAUUACUUUACUUUUUAAACUUUUACACCUUGAAAUAUACUUACAUCUCCACCAUAUAGCUAGCAACUUCUAAUUGUAUUUGUCAACCAGAUUUUUUUUAAAAAUUGAGAAAAUCAGAGAUGGAGAUGUACAUAAACUCCCACAUUUUUCCCUAUCCCCUUCCAACAUUAGAAAUUUUAUAUUAUUUCUAUAUCAUCAGGGUUUACAGUUUUUUACAUUUUUUCUGUAAACAAAAUUAUCAUAUUUAUUUCAAAUUUUAGUCAAUUCAUGUACUCAAUGCUCAGUGCUGAAAUUUUGUUGCAAUAAUUUUGUUUACUAAUUGGUUUACUGAGAUUCAUCCUCUAAUAGUUUCCUAAAGAAUCACUUACAAAAACAGCACUCUCUGGACACCCACAUGCCUAUUUGUUCUUUAAUGUUGAGUUUGUGCUAGCAUUAUUGUUUGGCUAGAAAUUCUUGGGCCAUUCUGUCUUUCCCUGAGAAUUUAGUGGGCCUAAGGUAGUCUGGCAUCUCACGAUACACAAAUUGCUGAAUCCUGCUUUUUAAUAGGGAGUUUUAUAUUUUAUACAACUGUUCAAGUUAUUAUUUUUUCCAUACAUUUAUUAGAAUAUCUUAGAAUUAUUUGCUUUCGUCAUUUUCCCCUCUCUCAUAUACAGUGUUUCUUUGACAUAUAAAGAUUUGAAAAAUUUUUUAUGUCUGAAAGGUUUUCUUUCCUGGCUUAUGCAAAUGAUAUUUUUCUAUUUCAUUGCUCUAAUUCUUUCCUUGCACACACUGAUUAUGCAUAUGGUUGAGUUCCAUUUUUUUCUGCAUAUUUUUACAUUUUUCAUAAUCCUAUUAAAAAUUGAAAUAUGAUUUGUAUACCAUAAAAGAGACUCUUUUAAACUAUACAAGAAAUCAGUUAUUUUUGAUAUAUUCACAAGUAGUAUAACCAUCACUGCUAAUUCAGUUCUAAUUAAUUCCAAUUUAUUAGCCCCCAAAAAAAUCCCAUUCCCAUUAGAACUUGCUCUUCAGGCCAGGCAUGAUGGCUCAUGCCUGUAAUCCCAGCACUUUGGGAGGCUGAGGUGGGCUGAUCAUGAGGUCAAGAGAUCGAGACCAUCCUGGCCAACAUGGUGAAACCCCAUCUCUACUAAAAAUACAAAAAUUAAGCAGGCAUGGUGGUGAGUGCCUGUAGUCCCAGCUACUGGGGAGGCUGAGGCAGAAGAAUUGUUUGAACCUGGGUGGCAGAGGUUGCAGUGAGCUGAGAUCGCGCCACUGCACUACAGCUUGGAGACAGAGUGAGACUCCUUCUCAAAAAACAAAAAAGAAAAAAGAAAAAAAAAAAAAAAAGAGCUUGCCUUUCAUUACACUCUCUUCCCAGACCCUGGCAACCACAAAUUUAUUUUCUGUCUCUAUGUAUUUGUUUGUUCUGCAUAUUUCAUACACGUUGAAUUCUAUGUUUUAUGGUCUUUUGUAUCUUGCUUCUUCUACUUGCAUUUUUAUAAAGGUUCAUCCAUGUUGUCAGGUGUAUCAAUAAUUUAGUUCUCUUUAUGGCUGAAUAUUAUUCUAUUUAUUGAUUUAUUAUAAUUUUUUCAUUCAUCAGUUAAUAAACAUGAGUUUUUUCUGCUUUUUGGCUAUUGAGAAUAAAACUGCUUCAAACACAUAUGUACAAGUAUUUGUGUGAACAUAUGUUUUCAUUUCUCUUGGGUAUAUAGCUCAGAGUGAAAUUAUUGGGUCAUAUAGUAACUCUCCUAUUCAACUUUUUAAAAACUGACAAAAUGUUUUCCAAAGAAUUGCUUCAUUUAUAAUCCCACAGGAAAUGUAUGAGUCUUUCAACUUUUUCCACCUCCUUGCCAACACUUGUUAUGGUCCAUCUAUUUCUUUAUAGCCAUCCUAGUGAAUGUAAGAUGGCAUCAAAUUGUAAUUUGGAUUUACGUUUCCCUAGUGACUAACGAUGUAGAGCAUCUUUUAAAGAUGAUUAUUAGAUACUUGUAUAUUAUUUUUGCAGAAAUGGCUAUUCAGAUUCUUUAUUUCUUUUAUAAUUGGGU